CUUGAGCAAAAGGUACCAUUCAACACCGUUUAGAAAAAAAUUAUACAUAAUAUAUAUGUGUCACGCCCCGAACCUGGGGAGGCGUGGUUAGCACCCAGUGUCGUAGUGGCCCGAAUGAACCACUCCGUAACUUAUCCAUUCCUUUUUAUAACUAUCAUGGGCAACGCGACCACAACUCAUAAUAUAAAAUUGUAAGUGGAAAACAUUUAUCACUGAACCAUUUUUUCUUAAAACAUGAAUACAUAUGGACCGUUAAAGCCUCUGACAUACUGUAUAUAUUGAACCUCUAUCUUCAAAGCCUCUAGGAUUAUUCGACAUCAAAUGGGACGGGGUACCAGCCUACCCAUAAGUCUGUAGAAAAACUCUGACACGAUGACUCUGACACGAUGACUCAUAGAUUCGGCUGCACUCCGAAUGAGGUGGAGUCUUACUGAGUGAAGCUAAGUGCAAACUUCAUCUACUAUGAGGGCUCGUCAAACUGUUUAUCUAUACCUGCAGGCAUGAAUGUAGCGUCCCCAAUAAAAGAACGUCAGUACGAAUAAUGUACUGAGUAUGUAAGGCAGAACUGAAACAUAAUAAUAAGUCAACAUUAAUUUAAGACAUGGAAGAAAUAUAGAGUAAAUGACUCAACCUGUAAGUCUGGACGACUCUGUAAAUCGUGAAAUAUUUAUAAUGUCAUGCAUAUGCGUAUAAAUGUCAUGUAAUGCAUAGGUAUGUACGUACAUAACAUCGUCAAGCCUCUGAGGACAUUCCAUCAUAUCAUUUUAGCCACUGUGGGCAAUAUCAUCAUCGUAUACCAACUGAUCAGGUGGUGGUGCGUAUAUAACGCCAUAACCUUUACCAUAUCCCAUAUACAUAUAUAUACAUAUAUACGCGUAUAUAACGCCGUCUGAGUCAUGGGUAAAUGCACAUGUAAAUGAAUGCAAUGCAUGGAAAGUACGUUAAUAAAAUCUUUCGGAAUAUCACAAGACCAUUAUGCCUUUGAAUAAUAUCAUGAAAUAAACUUUUUUCAACUUUACGUAUUUUUCCGAGACCCAUGAACAGAGGAUAAAGUAAUAGGAUACAUGGGAAUUCAAGAACGUAGGCAUUACUAAUACUUCUAUGAAUAAAGUCAUUUAUGGAAGUUGUGUAUUUUCUCGUUUCGUUUAUAUCGUAUGGAUCAUGCCAAAAGAAAGAAGGGAUAACUUUAACAUACCUGAGCCAAUUCUCUUGACAAUCCCACUAGUGAAGAGAAAAACAGACCACAGCAGCAGCUGUGGACCAGUGUCCAUGAUACCAAUUUUUAGAUGUAAAUAAGGAAGACAAACUUUUAACCCCCUCACAUAGAGUUCUCCACACCUUACGUAUUCUACUAUUUCUCUCCAAAUCAACCAAAAAAAAAUAUACAAAAGAAAGAAAUAUCCCAUGCUUUUUUCUUUCUUGUUCAACUUUUUUUUUUUUUCAUCCUCCAACUUGCAAAAAACUUUUCCAUCUGUUAAGGUAAUACCUAUAACAGAUUAGAGAGGAAUAGUUUAUGUGCAUAAGUCCACCAUGAAGUUAACAGUAGGUGAUCCACAUCCACAUUUCUUUUGCUCAUGCAAAUGGACUCUUACUGGUGUUAUGUAACGAGCAUCCAUGACAAAACUUAGACUAUUGGAACAAAAUAAUUGGAAAGCAAGAAAUGAAAGAAAAAGCACUAACAACGAUGGAAGGAGAGAGCCAAACUAACGCAAGAAUUGAAGCCAGAAUUAUUUAACCAAAG
rnacentral:lncRNA from 1 species